rnacentral:rRNA from 1 species
AGUGAACGCUGGCGGUAGACCUAACACAUGCAAGUCGAACGGCAGCACAGUAAGAGCUUGCUCUUACGGGUGGCGAGUGGCGGACGGGUGAGGAAUACAUCGGAAUCUACUUUUUCGUGGGGGAUAACGUAGGGAAACUUACGCUAAUACCGCAUACGACCUACGGGUGAAAGCAGGGGAUCUUCGGACCUUGCGCGAUUGAAUGAGCCGAUGUCGGAUUAGCUAGUUGGCGGGGUAAAGGCCCACCAAGGCGACGAUCCGUAGCUGGUCUGAGAGGAUGGUCAGCCACACGGGAACUGAGACAGGGUCCAGACUCCUACGGGAGGCAGCAGUGGGGAAUAUUGGACAAUGGGCGCAAGCCUGAUCCAGCCAUACCGCGUGGGUGAAGAAGGCCUUCGGGUUGUAAAGCCCUUUUGUUGGGAAAGAAAAGCAGCAGGUUAAUACCCCGCUGUUCUGACGGUACCCAAAGAAUAAGCACCGGCUAACUUCGUG